GCCCCAGCCCCAGCCCCCACCUAGCCAUUCCCGCCCUGCCUGUCACGGCCCUGCGCCCUCCCGCGGGAACUCAGUUUAAUAAUUAAUUAAGCUCUCAUUCCACAAGGCGCCAGGUGUGUGCGGCCUGCUUGCCCGCACACCACUUCUUUCCUCUUCCCCCCAGCCUCUGGGGCAGCGGCCCCGAGGCGAACCUCGGGGCCCAGUGGAGGGACCCAGGGAAGGGGCACUCUCCCUGCCGCCCCCGCAACCCCCCGCCCUACUCUCUGGGAGCCCCUCCCGCGCACCUGCCAACUUGCAGCCUCACCCCCAGGCAUCUUUUACCCAAAGGGCUGUGCUUCUCUGCUGGGGGUUGGAGGGGCUACUGGGGUGCAUUGCUAAGUGCACGAACUGAGAAACUGGGACUUUAGUUAUUUCCAGCACGGAGCAGCUGCCCAAGUUACCUGGGAGAUGGGAAAAUCGUGUGAAAGCUGGUUAACCCUUUGAGGAUUAGAAUAAUGGUGGAAGCAGAAAGGAGAAGGAGUUUCACUACAGGAUGUACGUAGGACCAGCCCUCCCUGCAGUCCUGUCCUUCAAGGCUCAAGUCUUGUCCACUCCAAAUCACCACUGGGAUUCCUAAGUCCAGGACAGAGCUUCAGGCAAGGAAAAGAGAAGAGUUGGGAAAGCCAGUUUCCAACAUUUAUCAGCCACGUGUACCUGCAAACUGUAUACCUUGGGUAAAUCAUCAAUCUCUUGAAAUGGGAAUAAAACCAUCUGCCUUGUCUUUCUUA